AGAGUGUGCCACGCACGUUAUACCGUGGAGGAAAUCUGGCGUUAACCAUUUCAAGUAUUGCCAAAAUUCGCAGCCAGGAAGAGCUCCUCUCUUUUCGGCACCGUUUGGCGCUUGUUUUCCGUCAACACCGAGCAGCGGGCGUGGAAAAAUCCCAACCACGACUAUUAAUCAUUCGGGGCGGACAUGGACAGCAAUCCCACUCCCACACCAUGCCUUUGUCUUCUCAAACUACAACUUGAGCGGUAAACUUUUAAAGACACGCAGGAACAGAAGCAGACCGCCGCUCAUUAAUUCACCUUCAACAAUUCUUAACCUGAAGAAGAGUUUAAGGGUUUAAAACGGAACUUUUACGCACAAUGGAAAGCCGUCACCUGGACUCUGUGGCUCGACAUGACCGUGCUUGGAGGCUUACCUAACCUUGUCUUUCGCCACCAAACCUGAACUCCUUCCCUGUCCCGGUCAGACGUACGCACAGAGUCGAGAGGAAGACGUUACCCAAAAGGCCCUCAGCCUGUUUUUUUUUUUAACCUUUUGCUGCACUUUUUUUCUUCUUUUUUUUUUUUACAGAAUGCCCUUUUGCACAAGUGUACAAGUUGAUUAAUUGUGUUUUAAAUCUCAUCUGUUUCAGCAUUAAACAAAUGUUUCGGGGUAUUUACACAAAUCAAGGCUCCUUAUCACUGUCAGCGACGAGGAGUUAGAGGCGCAGACCCCUGGAUGUUGGCCAGUCGGCGGUCCAUAUCUUCCCACAAUGUUGACACUCGGAGCUCUUUACAGCCAGGCUUGGGUUACCGAUACACUCAGCUGAAGAUAACUCUUUCUGCGAGGUUUACACCGGCCAACAUCAAGGCUAAAUGCGAAAUCCAACGCCUUAAGCAAAUGGAAGCCGCCCUCCCUCGUGGACGCGGAGCAGCACUGGGGACGGGACGGACGAGGACUGGAGAUUUGUGCUCACAUAUAGGUGGUUGUAAUAAAGCUAUUUGAACUGUG